rnacentral:lncRNA from 1 species
GAUAAUAUCUCUGACGGCCUCCAACCCGAGCUAACCUGGAAACUCUAGAAAACAUGGGAAAGAAGAGGGUAAGCUUUCGCUUAGUAAGUUCAUAUGAAAAGAAUAAGCAACUCAUUAACUUGUUUUAUCAAUGUUUACAACAUAUUCUCAAGUUCACUACAAGCUGUCUUCCUAAGCAGUAGUCACUAAAUUAUUUAUAUUUGGAGCUACGAAACUCCAAAUUAAGUUUCGUUAAUUUUCCCUGAAACUAGACUCAUUUAUAUUUCUUCCAUAAAAUUUCCAUAAUUUUUGACUUAGCCAAUUAGUACAGUUUAUUCCUCAAGUUUGCUCCUGAUUCACUGUCUGACAGUUUCAACCCUUCUGCACUAAAGUUCAAUUAUCUCAUAGUACAGGACUCGAAUAAUGUUCUCGUCUAUUUCUCUUGAAACUAGACUCAUAUGUCUAAUUACUAAUUUUUUUUCUAGAAUUUUUGGUCAAGCCAUUUAGUACAGUUUAUUAGUUAAAGUUUCCCCUGUUUCAGGGUAUGAAUACUCUGAUGCCUAUGCACUACGAAUUGAAUUUCUCCCUGUACAUAAUUCCAAUGAUCAUGCCGUUUGUUUCCCUUAAAGAUAGACUCAAUAAGGAAUCCAUGCAUGUAAGGUGUGACUCUUAAUAAUUUUUGUACAAUUUACGGUGAAUUUAUAAAAUCAAAACAGAGGAUCUCGAAUUCAUUCAGAUCCUGUUUCACGAGAAUUUAAAUAUCACACAAUAUAGAAUUCUUUUUCUUCCUCUAUUUCUUUCAUGUGAAAAUAUACUCAUUAAGCUUUAAUCCCAUAUUUUAUUCUGGCUCUAAUUCAUUUUCGACUAUUUUUAGUGUAUUUUCAAAGUUACACUACUGCAGUAACUCAAAUCUGUCAAGGCUAAGUUACUCAUUCAUGGUCAUUGUUCAUAAUAUUAAUACAACACCAUUUUAUCCAUCAUGGUAAGAACACAUAUUAUGCAUCAUAGAUCAUCACAUAUCAAGGCAUUCUCAUAGGCUUAGUAUACAUACUUGCACAACUCGUAACAUAACUCGAGUGCAUACUCACCAAUGACUUACCUCAUUGGGACCAUCAUCAACUCUUUCCUUGGAUUGCCCGUUGAACACUUGGAAUACUAAUUGGAUACUCGGAAAAGCCUUUGCACAUAAGUGCCUCAAUUGUAGCUAAAGCAAUCUCAUAUCUCAUGACAUUUCAAUGCUCACUAUCGAGCUAGUCAUGUAGACUCAUAAUUCCUAGUGACAUGUCACUCGUAUCCUAAUUUAUUCCUAAGGUUCAAACAGGAUUUUUCCUUGCCUAUUAAGGCUUUGUCUUAUCAUAUUUCUAUUAAUCACAUACACAUUAAUAUUUGUACAAUUCAUGUAAUGAUAACAUUUAAAUACAUGUAUAGCAUGGUAUUGUUUACAUACGAACUUACCUCGAUACCACAAAGGUGAAAAGACAUACUCGUCCAUAAAUCGAUUUCUUUCCGUUCUAGGUCCAAAUCUCAAAUUUCAUCAUCUAUAACAUCAAUUUAGCCUAACAAUCAGUCACAAUAUUCAUAUGGGUCUAAAAAUCAUAUUUUUACAAAUUUUCAUUUUGACCCCUAAACUUUUGCAUAUUUGCACUUUUUCCCCAAUGCUCGUAAAUUAAUUUUUAUCACAUUUCUUUACUCCUUGAGUCUAGAUGAACCAUUUUCAUCACUACAGCAACUCAUAAUUUCAACUAUUUUACACAUUUACAACUCAUUUUACAACUUAGCAAUUUAGCCCUUUUUAAGGUAUUUUUAUGCAAUUUCUUUCACAAAAGUUGUUUAUUAGACAACUAGGACUCAUAAUCUUCCAUAAAAACACAGAAAACAACACAUUUACUCUCAUGGUAAAACCCUAGACUCUUCAUCAUUUUGCAAAAUAAUCCCCUCUUAUGAAAGCUCAUGCUUUAGGGGUUCCAAAAAUGUAAAAAUCAUCAAGCAAAGACAUUAAAAUCACUUACUAUAAAGGGAGUUUCUUUGCUGAAAGUUUCCAGCUUCUAAACCCUUUCUUUGCUGCCAUUUUUCGGUGGAGAGAAGAUAAAGAAAAGAUGAUAUUUU